UGAACCACCAUAGGCGGUGGAGCUUUUACGUUGCGCAGGGAUGAAUUUGGAUUUACUGCUAAUGCUAAUGCAUUUAGAGUCUACUUGAAAGAACGGGUACUGGGGCGCCUGGUACUGACUUUCUUAGUUUGUUUUGUUUGGAGGAGAAAUCCCAAAAAGACUGCCCAGGGAAAAGAAAAUAACAGUCUGAUGGGAAGUCUGCUAGAAAGGAAUGAGGACCGAAUUCCUAACUUCAGUUCUGUUAGGGACCUCCCAGAGGGAUUUCAUUCACAUGGUCUCGGGCAUCCCCAG